rnacentral:rRNA from 1 species
AAGAUGGGGGGACCAGCCUCCAAGGCUGAAUACGCCUGACUGCCCGAGAGUGAACCCGUACCGUGAGGGAAAGGCGAAAAGAACCCCUGUGAGGGGAGUGAAAUAGAACCUGAAACCGUGUGCAUACAAGCAGUCGGAGCCCCGCUACUUAAUUAUUUUGGAAUGAUAAUGUUCUACGUAUAUAUACUCAAAGGUGAAGAUGGUUCGCAUUAUUGUGGAUACACAUCAGACCUAAGACAACGAUUUGCCACCCACAACAGUGGUGGAAACAAAUCGACCAGUUACCAGCAAUGGCAACUACUAUAC